rnacentral:rRNA from 1 species
AGCAGCCGCGGUAAUUCCAGCUCCAAUAGCGUAUAUUAAAGUUGUUGCAGUUAAAAAGCUCGUAGUUGAAUUUCGGGAUCAGUGGGUCGGUCGUGCCACUGGUAUGUACUGGCCCUACUGGUUCCUCCUUCUUGAAGAACUGUAAUGCCAUUAAUUUGGUGUUGCAGGGAAACAGGACUGUUACUUUGAAAAAAUUAGAGUGUUUAAAGCAGGCAAUCGCUUGAAUACAUUAGCAUGGAAUAAUGAAAUAGGACGUUCGAUCCUAUUUUGUUGGUUUCUAGGAUUGACGUAAUGAUUAAUAGGGAUAGUUGGGGGCAUUAGUAUUCAAUUGUCAGAGGUGAAAUUCUUGGAUUUAUUGAAUACUAACUACUGCGAAAGCAUUUGCCAAGGAUGUUUUCAUUAAUCAAGAACGAAAGUUAGGGGAUCGAAGACGAUCGGAUACCGUCGUAGUCUUAACCAUAAACUAUGCCGACUAGGGAUCGGAUGAUGUUAAUUUUUAAUGACUCAUUCGGCGCCUUAC